GUGUGUGUGCACUCAAGUGACUCGUGAGACAUGAACAUGACCGCAUAAAAUUAAAGUAAAUUUGCAAAAGCGGCAACCCUGUAGGGAUAGAAGGAACCAAAUCAAUAUGGCGUCUAUUAUGAAGUUUUGUUGUGAAAUGUGAAAUCCGUGUGCGUUGAUCGGCCGUUAGACCGCAAUUUUCGUUAUCGUUAUUUGAAAAAAUAAAUGUGAUUUCCGUUCUCUGGUGCACGAUAUCCCAGAUGCCUAACUUAUCUCAACUUUCUGCUUCAUCUAUCGCAGAGAAACAGUAAGGAAGUUAGCAUAUAGAGAUGGCGAGUCCCUCGCCUCAGAAUUCGCCCAUGCCUCCGCCGCAAGCCCCAUCUCCUUUGGCCCCUCCUCAGCAGGUCCUGUCGCCCAUGUCUUCUCCUGCAGGAAUGGCUCCUCCGCAAGUAAUACCACCUUCACACCCUCAUAGUCCAACAAACUAUUCGCAAGGUCUGUCUCCGGGAACAAUCCCCCCUCACAUGAGCCCAACAGGUGUUCCUCAGCAUGCUAUGGUUCAAGCCUCUCAGCCCCCAUUUCAGCCAAAUGCUUUGCAGUUUCAAGAAAUUCAAUGAAAAAGUUAAAUGCCUCUACAUUUCAUCGGUGACUUGUAAUCUUGGAGGUAACUUAUUGAAAUGAUUUUCUUCCUCUUGUUAAUUCCUCAGAAUACUUGUCGGAAAAUAAUGAAAGUAUUCAUCCUGUAGUAUUUUCUUGUUCCUUCUCUGGUACCAUCCAUAUCAGAAAUCUACCAGAAUGAGCAUUAAGAAACGCCUUUGAGAAAUUUGACAAGUAUCUACUUAUACAUCUGCGGUACUUUUGAAAUGGUUAGACUUGAAGUUUAGAUAUGUAUAAAUUGCUAUUAAACGAAACUAAACGCAAGAAAAUAGGAAACUGGGACCAGAAAAAAACAGAAUGCCUGGAACGUUAUGGGGUUGUUUCAACCCUCUCCUCGAUCAGGAAAGAAAAAUAAACAAGUUUGAAGAUAAAAAAACUCCCCAAUGGGGGUCUGAGGGGUUUUCUGAUUUUUAUAUUUUUUUUUCCUGGCGGAGGAGGGAGUUGAAACUACCUUAAACGUCCCAGGCAUUCAAUUUGUCUUUAGCCCUCGUCUCCUAUUUCUUGUGUUUUGUUUCGUUAUAUUAUUCGGGCUAUUUUCGUCCAUCGCUCUUUUUGCAAUUAAGUAAAUGAGGAUGCAAAAUUAUGCCCCAGCAACUUGGCAGUUUGCUCUGAAGGGACUCUUUACCCAGGAGAAAUGGACAUGCAUCUUGUUCCUCUCUGCAAUUUCUUCAUCUCUACAAAAAUUCCCAGAGAAACACCAUCUAUGUCUGUAUUUUGAUGUAUUUCUGAGUCUCCUUUUGAAUGCAUCCAAGAUCAGUCGUCAUUCUUAAACUCUUAAAAGGUUUUCGCCCGAGAGAUAUUACUUUUUUAAGUAUCUUUGAUAAAGUAUUUCAUCUACUCCUUUUUCAUUUUCUGGAUCUAAUCUAGUCAGAAUUCUUAUGCAUCUUUUUUUGUCUUUUUCAACGGCUAAUCUAAAAUAAAACAAAAAGAAAAAUGAAAAAAGAGAGGAAGGAGGAGGAAUAAAACUUUAAUAUAUUAGAAAAUUUCUGAAAAGUAUUUAUUAGGUUAUGGAUUUUGUUAAAACGGUUACGGCUGAAGCUUCAGAAUCUGUUAAAAUGACUAUAAUACAUUCAUAAAAUCAAGUGCUUAUUUUUGUUAACACAAUUUAUACUUAAAAUAUAUUAUAUCAAUUAUUAAUGCCGAAUAAAAAAUCACAAAUAACUUUCAAGUAUUUUAAAAACAAUUCGAGGAACUGUGAAGAAGUGUUAAAACUUUAAACGUUUGAACAUUUUACAAUUUCAUAUUAAAAGCGGCCUCUUUUUCCUUUACUUCUACAUACUGAAAAUCUCAUCGAUUCAAAUCUUUUUCCCAGAAAAUACCUCACUGGAGCCAUAUCGGUAUGGCUAUGGGUAUCGGUAUGGGAUUUUUAUUAUUAUUAAUCUUGUUGAAAACAUCUUGAAAUAUGUAAGUAAAGUGAACACACCGUACGUGAUUAAUCAAUUCUUUAAAAAGAGUUAGGUCCACUCUUAGUCGGCUAAGAGUGGACCUAACUCUUGUCAAUUUUAAAGAAUUGAUUAAUCACGUACACGUUCACUUUACUUACAUAUUUCAAGAUGUUUUCAACAAGAUUAAUAAUAAUAAAAAUCUAUAC
rnacentral:lncRNA from 1 species